rnacentral:rRNA from 1 species
CGGACGGGUGAGUAAUGUCUGGGGAACUGCCUGAUGGAGGGGGGUAACUACUGGAAACGGUAGCUAAUACCGCAUAACGUCGCAAGACCAAAGAGGGGGACCUUCGGGCCUCUUGCCAUCGGAUGUGCCCAGAUGGGAUUAGCUAGUAGGUGGGGUAAAGGCUCACCUAGGCGACGAUCCCUAGCUGGUCUGAGAGGAUGACCAGCCACACUGGAACUGAGACACGGUCCAG